rnacentral:rRNA from 1 species
GACGAACGCUGGCGGCGUGCUUAACACAUGCAAGUCGAACGAGAAUCUGCGGAAAGAGGAUUCGUCCAAUUGAAGCAGAGGACAGUGGCGGACGGGUGAGUAACGCGUGAGGAACCUGCCUUUCAGAGGGGGACAACAGUUGGAAACGACUGCUAAUACCGCAUGACACAUCGGAGUCGCAUGGCUCUGAUGUCAAAGAUUUAUCGCUGAAAGAUGGCCUCGCGUCUGAUUAGCUAGUUGGUGAGGUAACAGCCCACCAAGGCGACGAUCAGUAGCCGGACUGAGAGGUUGAACGGCCACAUUGGGACUGAGAUACGGCCCAGACUCCUACGGGAGGCAGCAGUGGGGAAUAUUGGGCAAUGGGCGCAAGCCUGACCCAGCAACGCCGCGUGAAGGAAGAAGGCUUUCGGGUUGUAAACUUCUUUGUCAGGGACGAGUAGAAGACGGUACCUGACGAAUAAGCCACGGCUAACUACGUGCCAGCAG